GCAACUCGAGUUCUCAUGAUGUUGUGGUAUUGUCUAUGUAUUUGGACCAGGGUUCCCAUGCGGAGGCAUAGUGGGCGUAUUUGUCAUUCAUAGAGGCUGUCCGUUCCUCCAUUAUUCGAAUAGACUCGACUUUCUGGAGCCAUUCCCUCACCGAUGGUGCCUUAGAGGCCUUCCAAUGUAUUGGAAUGAGGAGGUUGGCCGCCGUGAGCAGGUGGGUCGUUAGGACCCUCUGUGGUUUGGCGAUGGGGUCUGAAAACAAUAGGAAGAGCAUUGUCUCCGGCUUGAGAGGUAAGUUCCCCCCUGUUACAGUGUUAAUUAUCUCCCUCACUCUUUUCCAGUAGAGUUGUAUGGUUGGGCAGUGCCACCAAAUGUGAGCUGUUGUUCCUCCCAAUUGCCCGCAUCUCCAGCAUGUAUCUGGCAUGUGCGGGAAGAUACGUUGUAAUUUAGUGGGUGAGUAAUGCCACCUGGAGAUUUUCUUGUAUGUGCUUUCCUGGAUAGCAGUGCUGACGGAAGAUCUCUGUAUGCCCUGAAAGAUGAUACCCCAGCCCCCCUGGGUAAUGUUAGUGGAGAGUUCCCUAUUCCAUGUUUGUGUGUAAUGUGGCAUUUGUCCCUUGAGCUCCCCUUGAAUCAUCUUAUAAAAAAUCGAUAAGUGCUUGCUUUUGAGGGAUUGGGAGGUACAAUAUAAUUCAUACGUUGUGAACGUCCGGGAGCCAGCUAGAAGUGUUCGUGUGGAUCGUAUGUAGUGUGUCAGUUGCGCAUAUUUGAAGAUCUGCAGUGUCGUGGGUCGUUCUGAUCCCAUUAGGGAUUCGAGUGGUUUGACUGAGCCGCCCUCUAAGACCGUAUGGAGUCUCAGAUAGGGCGUUUCUUGGGGUAUUUUUAAGAAGUCAAAGGAGUGGUUCGGCAGCCCGGGUUGGAACUGUAUGUUUCCUGUUAGAGGGUAGAGGGGGGAUGGAUGAGGGGAUAUUGAGGUCCCCAGUCUCAUGAGCUUCCAGGUUCGGAUUGUGGGUGUAAUGGUGGGGUGACGGGAGUGGUGUGGGGAUAGGGAUGUAGAUCCUGUGUUUAGCCAUGGGAUCCCUUGGAGCGGGGUUGUGAAAAAGGUUUUCUCCAGUUGCACCCAUUGUAGUUGUGGGCGUGGGUUGGCCCAUUCAUAUAUCCUUGUGAGGAUGGUCGCUUUGUGAUAUAACUCUAUGUGUGGC